rnacentral:tRNA from 1 species
GAGGGUACAGCUCAGUGGUGGAGUGUGUGCUUAGCAUGCGUUUGGUCCUGGGUUCAAUCCCCAGUACCUCCG